UAGCUUGCUAAUUUGCUGACGAGUGGCGCACGGGUGCGUAACGCGUGGGAAUCUGCCCUUAGGUACGGAAUAACUCAGAGAAAUUUGUGCUAAUACCGUAUGAUGUCGAAAGACCAAAGAUUUAUCGCCUAAGGAUGAGCCCGCGUAAGAUUAGCUUGUUGGUGAGGUAAAAGCUCACCAAGGCGACGAUCUUUAGCUGGUCUGAGAGGAUGAUCAGCCACACUGGGACUGAGACACGGCCCAGACUCC
rnacentral:rRNA from 1 species